rnacentral:rRNA from 1 species
AUUGAACGCUGGCGGCGUGCCUAACACAUGCAAGUCGAGCGGUAACAGGUGUAGCAAUACAUGCUGACGAGCGGCGAACGGGUGAGUAAUGCUUCGGAAUCUACCUUAUGGUGGGGAAUAACUAGCCGAAAGGUUAGCUAAUACCGCAUACGUCCUACGGGAGAAAGCAGGGGAUCGCAGGACCUUGCGCCAAAAGAUGAGCCGAAGUCGGAUUAGCUAGUUGGUAGGGUAACGGCCUACCAAGGCGACGAUCCGUAGCUGGUCUGAGAGGACGACCGGCCACACUGGGACUGAGACACGGCCCAGACUCCUACGGGAGGCAGCAGUGGGGAAUAUUGGACAAUGGGGGAAACCCUGAUCCAGCGACGCCGCGUGUGUGAAGAAGGCCUGCGGGUUGUAAAGCACUUUUAGUGGGGAUGAAAUGUGCAGGGUUAAUACCUCUGCAUUUUGACCUAACCCACAGAAAAAGCACCGGCUAACUCUGUGCCAGCCGCCGCCGUAA